UUUAAAUUAUUUUAAAUUAAAAUUUAAUAAAAAUAUUAAUUUAUGCAAAAUAAAAAAAUGUUUGCCAAACAGCUUUUCAAAAUCACUUCAGAAAAAUCGUUUUUAUCUAAACUCAGCCAAACGCUCUACAGCUUUUCACCAAAAUCAUUUCUCCAAACCAAAAUCACUUUUUCAGAAAUCACUUUUUCAGAAAUCACUUUUUCAAACAGGCCCUUAUGCAUAUGGAGUAGUGUUCUAUUGUUUUUUCUUUUAUUAUUAUUAUGUGUAAUUUAUUUGCUAAUAUUAUAAAUUUUGUGUAUCUAUUUCAUAUCUUAUAUUUGUAUUUAUUGAUUUUUCACGACAAGUCAAAAAAUUUUAAAACUUUUUAUUUUGUCAAAUUUUUAUCUUUUAUAGCAUCAGUCUGCCGCAAGGUGUGUGUAACUUCACUAGUUGAGUAGGACUUUUUUAUAAAACAACCCUCUAGAAUUUUAAAAUUUGCAAAAUAACUAUUCCAAAAUUAUAUUUGUAAAACUAACCCCCCUUUCACCACGUAGGUGUAGGAGUGGAUUUUUUUUAUGAAGGCGGUGAACGGACGAUUCACCGACUUACUAAUAAUAUAAUUAGCAAAGACGAUGAAUGGUUUACCGUCCUAUUUAAUAUUUUUUUUAUAUCUCAUAUAUAAUCUUAACAAUCACAUAAAAAUUACAAUAAAUCACAUAUAAUCUUAACAAUCUGAAAGUCCUAAUAAUCUAUUCAUACAAUUCUAGCAUAAAAAUUACAACAGAUCACAUAUAAUCUUAAUAACCUCAAAAUCCUAAUAAUCUAUUUAUAUAAUUCUAACAAUCAAAAAAAAAUUUCAAUAAUCUACGCAUGCUAAAACCUCACUUUUUUCUAUUUUCCAUCUACAACUUCACUUUUUUUCUAUUUCCCAUAUAAUCCACGUAUAAUUCUAACCAUCUCAUUUUUACCUAUUUUUUAUCUAACAACCUCACUUUUUUCUAUUUUUCAUAUAAUCUACGUACAAGAAAAUGUGCGGUUGUUAGAUGGAAAAUAAG
rnacentral:lncRNA from 1 species